rnacentral:rRNA from 1 species
AUGAUUGGCCCGAUAAGGUACGCCUACAUAGACAUCAUUGCAGUCACAAGCCAUUUCAGAGACAAACUGGGCCAAGGUGGCUAUGGAUCUGUGUACAAGGGUGUGCUAUUCCCAGAAGAUCUCCGUAUUGCUGUGAAAAUGCUACAGAGUAACUCCAGCUGCAAUGGAGAAGAUUUCAUUAGUGAAGUCUCUACCAUUGGCAGGAUCCACCAUGUCAAUGUGGUGCGUCUGAUCGGGUUCUGCUCAGAGGAGAUGAGAAGGGCGCUUGUCUAUGAGUACAUGCCUCGAGGUUCUCUUGACAAAUACAUCUUUUCACCCGAGAAGAGUUUUUCUUGGGACAAGCUCAAUGAGAUUGCUUUAAGCAUUGCUCGAGGGAUCAACUACCUGCAUCAGGGGUGCGAAAUGCAGAUUCUGCACUUUGACAUCAAGCCACACAACAUUCUUCUUGACAGCAAUUUUGUUUCAAAAUUUGCUGAUUUUGGACUUGCCAAACUUUACCCAUGGAACAACAGUUUUGUGCCAUCUAAUGCCUUACGUGGGACUGUUGGAUACAUAGCUCCUGAGAUGAUAUCUGGGAGCUUUGGUGCCAUAUCAAGCAAGUCCGAUGUUUACAGCUUCGGGAUGCUGUUGUUGGAGAUGGCCGGAGGAAGAAGGAACGCUGAUCCAAAUGCGGCGAACUCAAGCCAGUCUUACUACCCAUCAUGGGUGAAUGACAAACUAACUGCUCCAGCGGUGGAUGCGAUAUCUCCAGCUGCUGGCAUGCAUGAAUUGGAGAGGAAGCUGUGCAUCGUUGGAUUAUGGUGCAUUCAGAUGAAGUCACAUGACAGGCCAACGAUGAGCGAGGUCAUAGAGAUGUUGGAAGGUGGCUUUGAUGGUUUGCAGAUGCCUUCCAGGCCAUUCUUCUGCGACGAUGAGCACACCCCUGUCCCGGAUUCUUACCCUUUGUUAUCCGAGCUGACUGAGAUCUCGGAGGAGGAUGAGUAG